rnacentral:lncRNA from 1 species
UUUUUUUUUUUUUUUUUUUUUUGGUCUUUUUAGGGCCAUACCCACGGCAUAUGGAAGUUCCCAGGCUAGGGUAGAAUCAGAGCUGCAGCUGCUGACCUAUGCCACAGCCACAGCAACACCAGCUCUGAGCCAUGUCUGCGGCCUACACUAUAGCUCACUGCAACGCUAGAACCUUAACCCACUGAUUGAGGCCAGAGGUUGAACUCACAUCUGCAUGGACACUAGUCAGGUUCUGAACCUGCUGAGCCACAGCAGGAGUUCCCAGAAUAGUUGUUGCUAAAAUGUUUUUGGGUGAAUAUAAAAAACUCAAGUCAACCUCAGGAAUUUGGAAUAGCAAGAUCUUCUUGUUUAUUUGUACAUACGUUGGGGUGUCUCUUGAAUCUCUCUCUUGAACAUUAGGGGAAGAAACUAUUAAAGUACAACCAUUAGGUACUUCUAAAAAGGAAGCAAGCAUUGGUGCACAGAGAAGUCAGGAUAGUGUUUUGUUGUUCUAAAUAGGUGAUACAGACGAUAAAUGCUCUAGAAAUUCAGACUGGAAUAAUUGGGUCACUGAAGUUUAGGGCCACCAGAAAAAGCUUCACCAUGAAGCAGGACUUGAACGGGGUACAGUUUAGACAAAUAUAAAAAGGGGGCAAGUCUUCAAGCAGAAUGAAUUUAGUAUAAACAAAGGUAUCAGGACUACAUGUAAAAAUAUAAUCUUUUAGGUGGAUAAAUCUGUCUAUAGAGAGGAAGUAUUAAGGAGCAGGCGGGAGUAAAGUCAUUGUGGACACAGAAUAUUGCCUGCCCUAUCAGCAAACAAAGGCUAUUGCUGCCACCAAACCCUCAGCCAGUGCAGCCACCCACAGAGAGUGUCCCCUGAGGGCACUCAGAUGGGAAAGAACAAGGCACUGGCCCCAGAUAGUUAGGGUGCACAUCAAAGGAAUGAUUUCAAUAAGCCUAGACUCUUACAUCUUUUCAUACAUAGAAAAGCACUAAAGCACUAACCUUUUGGUGUUUGAUUACCUGUUUUGUUUUUUUUGUUUUGUUUUAUAUUUACGCUAUUUUUUAUUGUGAUCAAUUGUUAUUUCCCUAAUACAUUUUCUUUCUACUAUACAGCUGGCUGACCCAGUUACAAAUACAUGUAUACAUUCUUUUUUCUCACAUUAUGCUCCAUCAUAAGUGACUAGACAUAGUUCCCAGUGCUACAGGAUUUUUUUGUUUUUUGUCUUUUUAGGGCCUCACUUGUGGCAUAUAGAAGUUCCCAGGCUAGGGAUCGAAUUGGAGCUGCAGCUGCCAGCCUACACCACAGCUCACGGCAAUGCCAGAUCUUUAACCCACUGAGCAAGGCCAGGAAUUGAACCCGCAGUCCUCAUGGAUUCUAGUCAGGUUCGUCACCAUCGGGCCAUGACAGGAACUCCUUGAUCCAUCCUCUAAUAUUAAUUCUUUCUGUCAAAAAAGAUAUAAUCAGCUCAGAAGGUAACAUCUAAGGAAAUAAUUUUAAGACCUGAAGUUUGGGAUGCCCUGUGGGCAAGCGCAGUAUGUGGAAGGGAUUGUAAUUAAGGAAUGACUUGGGAGUUUCCGUGGCGCAGUGGUUAACGAAUCCUACUAGGAACCAUGAGUUUGCGGUUCAGUCCCUACCCUUGCUCAGUGGGUUAACUAUCCGGCGUUGCCGUGAGCUGUGGUGUAGGUCACAGACGUGGCUCGGAUCCUGCGUUGCUGUGGCUCUGGUGCAGGCCAGCAGCUACAGCUCAGAUUAGACCCCUAGCCUGGGGAACCUCCAUAUGCCGCGGGAGCGGCCCAAGAAAU